UACGGAGGGGCUAGCGUUGUCCGAAGUUACUGGGCGUAAAGCGCGCGUAGGCGGGUUGGUAAGUCCGCUGUGAAAGCCCGGAGCUCAACUCCGGAGGUCGGUGGAUACUGCCAGUCUUGAAAGUGCUAGGGGAGAUGGAAUUACCGGUGUAGCGGUGAAAUGCGUAGAUAUCGGUAGGAACACCAGUGGCGAAGGCGGUCUCCUGGGCAUUCUUGACGCUGAGGCACGAAGGUCAGGGAGCAAACGGG
rnacentral:rRNA from 1 species